UCAGCGGCGGACGGGUGAGUAACACGUGGGCAACCUGCCUGUGAGACUGGGAUAACUUCGGGAAACCGGAGCUAAUACCGGAUAAUAUAAGGAACCUCCUGGUUCUUUAUUGAAAGAUGGUUUCGGCUAUCACUCACAGAUGGGCCCGCGGCGCAUUAGCUAGUUGGUGAGGUAACGGCUCACCAAGGCGACGAUGCGUAGCCGACCUGAGAGGGUGAUCGGCCACACUGGGACUGAGACACGGCCCAGACUCCUACGGGAGGCAGCAGUAGGGAAUCUUCCACAAUGGACGAAAGUCUGAUGGAGCAACGCCGCGUGAGCGAUGAAGGCCUUCGGGUCGUAAAGCUCUGUUGUUAGGGAAGAACAAGUGCGAGAGUAACUGCUCGCACCUUGACGGUACCUAACCAGAAAGCCACGGCUAACUACGUGCCAGCAGCCGCGGUAAUACGUAGGUGGCAAGCGUUGUCCGGAAUUAUUGGGCGUAAAGCGCGCGCAGGUGGUCCUUUAAGUCUGAUGUGAAAGCCCACGGCUCAACCGUGGAGGGUCAUUGGAAACUGGGGGACUUGAGUGCAGAAGAGGAAAGUGGAAUUCCAAGUGUAG
rnacentral:rRNA from 1 species